GAAGAUUCGACCGGCAUCACCUCCAACACUCAUCAACCUCUCCACUGGUGUUUUGGUGUUUGGGUUUUUCUUUUUGUUGCAGAAGGACUUGGACACUCUGCAGAAAUGAAAUUGGCCAUCCUCUGCCUCUGUCUGGCUAGCACAGCCUCAGGUGCACCGGUAAGUUUGGAAAAAAAAAAAAAAAAAAAAGACAAAUUUGCUCUCUCUCAUGCAGUGGAAGCUUUAUUGUCUCAUUUCAGAUGAAGUUAUGUUUGAUUUAACUGUUAUUAUCAUUGUCUCACUGUUACUUUUUCAGUCGGCUUUCACUACCUGACUCAUUACACAGGACCCAGACAGCAGGUACCACCUGCACAGGUGAAAAAUCCCUUUGCAGCUCGUCAACCUCUGCCACAAACUGGACUCCCUGGUGCUUACAGUGUGGAAAUACUGUAUCCUCAUAUGCCUGGUGGUACAGGUGGAUCAAAUGCUCAGCCCUAUGGUUUCCUCAAAUACUCCAUUCCUCAGCCACCCGGCAGACAAAGUGUGGAAGUCUACUACCCCUAUGACUUCUCUCAGCAAAGGAUAAUAACAAACAUCCCACCCAUGACAAAUGUCCCCCAUCCUGCCAAAUGU